rnacentral:rRNA from 1 species
UAGGGAAUCUUCCACAAUGGACGAAAGUCUGAUGGAGCAACGCCGCGUGAGUGAAGAAGGGUUUCGGCUCGUAAAACCCUGUUGUUAAAGAAGAACAUAUCUGAGAGUAACUGUUCAGGUAUUGACGGUAUUUAACCAGAAAGCCACGGCUAACUACGUGCCAA